UCAUCUUUAUCAGGAUCCUUCAUGUAGGAUGAACAUGGCACAGCUGGAGAGUUUCAGUAAGUCUCAAUUUAACUCUGUGCAGCCUUUGUAGCUUUCAUUCCCUUGUUCAGAGUGAACAGAGACUUAUUAGCUGUCUCACACUGGAGAUCUUUCUUUUGUCAUCAAACUAUGGCAACCAUUAAGACAGGAAUAUCAUUUGAGAGCUUCCCUUUCUUGUUUAUUGCUUCAUUGUCCCCUUUGCCUGGAACCUCUGAUAGACCCUCUGAGUUUAGACUAUGGCCACAGGGCCAUAGUGAGUCCAGGUUGAGGAAUGAGCAUCACUGGGCUACCACUCUGCGAUACCGCCACCGACUGACCAAAAGCGGUGGUUUCCAAUCUGAAUCACCAAUCCUACCCAUACAACCUCAUAUGAUAUAAAUUGCCAGGUUGGCUAAGCUUAGCUGGGAGUUACAGCACAGGGGACAUAGCAUUGGGCACAGCUGCUUUAGUUGAGCUCUCAGAGAUGUUCCUUACAGGAGGGACAUUAUCCCUCUCAUCUCAGCUUUGUAAGGAACCAUACUAGAUGGAUGUGUGUGAAUCCACCACAGGUGAGAUAAGCCUAGUUCUGUAAAGAUCUGAACUCUUUGUAAAUGACCAUGAGCACAACUUCUAGGGACCUAAAACAGAUAUAUUUGACAGAAGACUCACAAUUCCCUUGUGAAAAAUGAGAUGUAUGUUCAUCAAUCAUCAUGUAAAUUCCAUGCAAAGUCUUUCUAGCCCAAAUGCACUUCAUACAUCAGGCUAGUCUUGCUGUCAACAAUGUGGUCAUGAAAGGCUGCUGACUUUUCACUUUGUUGUAAUCCAACAGGUUUCCCAGAAACACAAAACACAUG
rnacentral:lncRNA from 1 species